rnacentral:rRNA from 1 species
UACGGAAGGCAGCAGUGGGGAAUAUUGCACAAUGGGCGCAAGCCUGAUGCAGCCAUGCCGCGUGUAUGAAGAAGGCCUUCGGGUUGUAAAGUACUUUCAGUCGUGAGGAAGGUGUUAAGGUUAAUAACCUUAGCAAUUGACGUUAGCGACAGAAGAAGCACCGGCUAACUCCGUGCCAGCAGCCGCGGUAAUACGGAGGGUGCGAGCGUUAAUCGGAAUUACUGGGCGUAAAGGGCACGCAGGCGGUUAAUAAGUUGGAUGUGAAAUCCCCGGGCUUAACCUGGGAAUGGCAUUCAAGACUGGUUAGCUAGAGUCUUGUAGAGGGGGUAGAAUUCCAUGUGUAGCGGUGAAAUGCGUAGAGAUGUGGAGGAAUACCGGGUGGCGAAGGCGGCCCCUGGGACAAAGACUGACGCUCAUGUGCGAAAGCGUGGGGAGCGAAACAGGGAUUAGAUACC